CAGCAGCCACGGUAAUACGUAGGGUGCGAGCGUUAAUCGGAAUUACUGGGCGUAAAGCGUGCGCAGGCGGUUUGUUAAGACAGAUGUGAAAUCCCCGGGCUUAACCUGGGAACUGCAUUUGUGACUGCGAGGCUAGAGUGUGUCAGAGGGGGGUGGAAUUCCACGUGUAGCAGUGAAAUGCGUAGAUAUGUGGAGGAACACCGAUGGCGAAGGCAGCCUCCUGGGAUAAUACUGACGCUCAUGCACGGAAGCGUGGGGAGCAAACAGGAUUAGAUACCCGCGUAGUCCCUGUCUCUUAUAC
rnacentral:rRNA from 1 species